UACUAUCCAUAAAACAAGUGUUAC
rnacentral:siRNA from 1 species